GGUUGGGUGGCUGGGACGGCGGGAAGGUCCCACGCCCGUCUCAGGAAGCCAGAAACGCAAGAUGCCGGGCGCUCGGCCCGAACCCGUGCCGCGGCCCAAGGGGCAAGGCGGAUACCGAGGCAAGGCCUAAAGGGCCGGACUCUGACCGCACCCUCCGGACACUGCAGGGCUCCGCCGGCCAGAGGCGGCCUUGGCGCCAACCACACCUAGCAGCGGGGUCCCCGGGCCCACCGAUGCGCCCUCCUAGCCCCGCGCUCCUUCGAGGGGUUCCAAGGUGACUCAGAGACGCAGCUGACACAAUUCUGAGGCCCCCAGGUAAGCCUGGCGAUACCGGAUGGAGAAGUUACCUGGUCUUGAAAGGCCCAGUCCAGCCAGCGAGACCCGCGUGCGCUCCGCGGGGAGGCAAGCCUAACCAGGGGCUCACCUGGAAGCGUCCCCGCCCCCUGGUCCUUAUCUCUGAAUCGAAACCGAACCUGGACCCAUCUAGAUAAUUGGACUGAGCAAUUAAGGACGCUUCGCUCCUAACUGUUAGCAUUUUUUCCUAAGGCUCUCGGAGGCGGAAUCAGCUGGAAAGGAACAUUGCUAAGUAGGAAUUUCAGGCACCUGUGAACUGAGCCCACUCAAUAAUCGGCCCUUUCCCUUAACCAAACUCAGCAAAGGAAGAAAGACCAAGUUGCUGCGGAUGCACAGAGCCACGUGGGUGCGGGUCCUCUAGAAACAGGAAUUCAGAGUCAGUAGAUAUGGAAAUGUUAUGGUUUGCAGUCUUCGGACCAUGCUGCUUUCAUGCUGUUCACAUGAUUCUCCUCGGACUGCGAGGUAAAGUCCAAGAAACAAGUCGAAUGUUUGUAUUUUCAUAGAAAAAACAUCUGUAAGGGUGCACACCGACUGUUAACCACGGUUACGCGGGGAGGGGAAACAAGGGAGUUACAUUUUUUUACUCCCUUGACUUUGGAUUUUGUAUUUUUCCAGUUGUAUUUACUUUCAUAAUUUAGAAAGCUAAUAAAACAUGUUUAAAGAAACAGAAGCUAGAAAUUCUCUAAGAACUCUAGGAAGUAGAGGCCGGGCGCGGUGGCUCACGCCUGUAAUCCCAGCACUUUGGGAGGCCGAGGCGGGUGGAUCACAAGGUCAGGAGUUCGAGACCUGUCUGGCCAACAUGGUGAAACCCUGUUUCUACUAAAAAUACAAAAAUUAAUGGUGACAUGUACCUGUAAUCCCAGCCACUUGGGAGGCUGAGGCAGGACAAUCGCCGAACUCAGGGAGGCGGAGGUUGCAGUAAGCCGAAAUCGUGCCACUGUACUCCAGCCUGGGUGACAGAGUGAGACUCUGUCUCAAAAAAAAAAAAAGAACUCUAGGGAGUAUAAAUUAAUAAAUGAAGUCUAUGUCUUCAUUCUGUAUCAAAAUAA
rnacentral:lncRNA from 1 species